AAACCAUGCAUUAGGCAUUUUCUAAUUGACGCCUUAAAUCGCUCCCAUGCUUCAUAUAAUGUUUCAUCCCCAGAUUGCCAAAAGGACGUAAUAUCGUUCCUCAAUCU
rfam:Gossypium hirsutum cultivar TM-1 chromosome 8, whole genome shotgun sequence